AACCAGGAGGUUGGCUUAGAAGCAGCCAUCCUUUAAAGAAAGCGUAAUAGCUCACUGGUCAAGUUGCUUUGCGCCGAAAAUUUACCGGGGCUUAAACCUAAUACCGAAGAUACGAAUGUCUUGUGCUUCGCACAAGGAACUAAACAACUAACAACUGACAACUAACAACAAAAAGUUGUAAAGUCGUGAGUUGUAAAGUUGUAAGUUACUCGUGCGGAGCGCGAGGCGUGGUAGGGGAGCAUUUUAUACGCAUUGAAGUCCUAAUGUGAGUUAGGGUGGAGCGUAUAAAAGAGAGAAUGUUGGCAUAAGUAGCAAAAAUCCAAGUGAAAACCUUGGACACCGAAAACCUAAGGUUUCCUGGGCAACGCAAAUCGACCCAGGGUUAGUCGAUCCUAAGGUGAUCCCUAUACUUAGGGGCAGCCGAUGGAAAAGCAGGCUAAUAUUCCUGCACUACUAAUAAUUUUCGAUGAGGGGACAUAAUCUAGGAGAUUUAGUGUUUUUUGGCUAUAGACAUUGGAGACAAAGUAGGGUGGAUUUCAGGCAAAUCCUGAAUCCAACAAGCUCGAAAGUCUUCAGGAGAGAAAGUCGCAAGGCAGACUCAACUAAGUCAAAUAGAUUAUCAAGAAAAGCCUCUAGAGUUAAAUUAUUAGUAGCCGUACCAUAAACCAACACAGGUAGGUAGGUAGAGAAUACCAAGGUGUACGAGCGAAUCCUCAUCAAGGAACUCGGCAAAAUAGCGUGCGUAACUUUGGGAUAAGCACUCCCGCCUAAAUUUUGCUUUGCAAAACUUGGGCGGGCGCAGCGAAAGAUCCCGGGUGACUGUUUAGCAAAAACACAGGUCCCUGCUCAAAGCGUAAGCUGAUAUAUAGGGACUGAUGCCUGGCCAGUGUCAGAACGUUAAGGUGAGGGGUGAAACCGGUGCUUCGCACAAGUAACUAAACAAUUAACAACAAACAACAAACAACAAACGACAAACGACAAAAAGUUGUAAAGUUGUGAGUUGUAAAGUUGUAAGUUACUCGUGCGGAGCGCGAGGCGUAGCUCUGACCCGAAGCGCUGAUGAACGCCGGCGGUAACUAUAACCGUCCUAAGGUAGCGAAAUUCCUUGUCGUGUAAGUUACGACCUGCACGAAUGGCAUAACAACCUGGGAACUGUCUUAAUGAGGACCUCGGCGAAAUUGCAAGACGAGUGAAGAUGCUCGUUACCCACGGCUGGACGAAAAGACCCCGUGAAGCUUUACUACAACUUGGCAUUGGGUUGAGGUUAAACUUGUUCAGAAUAGGUGGGAGACCGUG
rnacentral:rRNA from 1 species